rnacentral:rRNA from 1 species
GUAGGUGGCAAGCGUUGUCCGGAAUUAUUGGGCGUAAAGCGCGCGCAGGCGGUUCUUUAAGUCUGAUGUGAAAGCCCACGGCUCAACCGUGGAGGGUCAUUGGAAACUGGAGAACUUGAGUACAGAAGAGGAAAGCGGAAUUCCACGUGUAGCGGUGAAAUGCGUAGGGAUGUGGAGGAACACCAGUGGCGAAGGCGGCUUUCUGGUCUGUAACUGACGCUGAGGCGCGAAAGCGUGGGGAGCAAACAGGGAUUAGAUACCCUGGUAGUCCACGCCGUAAACGAUGAGUGCUAAGUGUUAGGGGGUUUCCGCCCCCUUAGUGCUGCAGCUAACGCAUUAAGCACUCCGCCUGGGGAGUACAGCCGCAAGGCUG